GAUCCUGGCUCAGGAUGAACGCUGGCGGCGUGCCUAAUACAUGCAAGUCGAGCGAGAACUUGAUGAUGGAAGAUUCGUCUGAAAGAUUCAAGGGAAAGCGGCGGACGGGUGAGUAACGCGUAGGCAACCUGCCCUUAGCAGAGGGAUAGCCAUUGGAAACGAUGAUUAAAACCUCAUAACACUUUGGAGACACAUGUCUUUAAAGCCAAAGAUUUAUCGGCUAAGGAUGGGCCUGCGUCUGAUUAACUGGUUGGUGAGGUAACGGCUCACCAAGGUGACGAUCAGUAGCCGACCUGAGAGGGUGAUCGGCCACAUUGGAACUGAGACACGGUCCAAACUUCUACGGAAGGCAGCAGUAAGGAAUCUUGCACAAUGGGGGAAACCCUGAUGCAGCAACGCCGCGUGAACGAAGAAGGCCUUCGGGUUGUAAAGUUCUGAUCUUGGGGAAGAAGGAAGUGACGGUACCCAAGGAGAAAGCCCCGGCUAACUACGUGCCAGCAGCUGC
rnacentral:rRNA from 1 species